AGGUGACCGGGUCGGAUUUCGAUGGGAGGGGACUGGGAGCCCAGCCCGAGAGUGCGUCCGGGAAGGACCCUUUUGGAUCUCACCUGAAGUUCUCACCUGCAGUUGCCAGAGGCUGCUGGAUACUUGAGUUUUGAGUUUUUCUUCUUUUUAUAUGCCACGUGCUGCUGGUGGGGUGAGGGUCGCGGUUGGAGUGGGUUUAGAGCUUUCUUGCUGGUCAGAUGGGCUUCUCUUCUUCCGGAGUCUUCAGGAACCUCCCCUAUCCAGCCCACCUGUUGUGGCCUGGCCUCCUCGGAGCACCGUGAGGCCCAGGAUCUUAGUUCCCUGACCAGAGAUUGAACCCACGCCCCCUGCAGUGGAAGCCCAAAGUUUUAACUGCUGGACCACCCGGGAAAUCCCCCACAGGGGACACGGUUCGAGCCCUGGUCCGGGAAGAUCCCACAUGCCGCAGAGCAACCAAGCCCGUGCACCACAACUACUGAGCCCGCGCGC